rnacentral:tRNA from 1 species
GGGCUCGUAGCUUAGCCAGGCAGAGCGUCGGGCUCUUAACCCGAUUGUCGGGGGUUCGAAUCCCCCCGAGCCCGCCA